GCCUGAUGCUUAAAGGUAGAGUAAGGUAUAGGCAAAACAUGUUUAACAAUGUUAAUGUCAUACCUCGAGGCUACCCCCUUGAUGUAACACGGGACCUAAGAUCAUGAGUGGCCCCAAGCUAACCCUGUGUCUGACAUAUAUCAAGCAUACUGAGAAUAACUGAAUAGGACAUGUAAUAUGUGGAAGCUAAAACAAUGGAUAACUGAAAGUGGGUAAAACCCAACUAGUCUGAAUAUAUAAAAUAUAAUGAAAGUCUAGUGAUGACUGAAACACCACUUAACAACUCAAGCUGCAUCUAUUACUAUGUCUGAAAAAGCCUCUAACUGAGUUGAGUUGCUGGGACAUGCCCCAGUUAACUCUAACAAAAACUGAAAACUAAAAGCAAAGACUAAAAUGAAAGCAUCUCUAUUGUCCUAGGAACAUGAGGACUCACCACUGAAGCUGCUGAAUGCGGACUGAGAAUCGAUCUAAACGUCAUCUGAAUACUGAGGUACCUGAACCUACAUCAUGAAAGGAUGUAGCGCAUUGUAUGCGUCACUACUUGAAAUGUACUGAGCAUGAAUGAUAUAGAUACUAAGCUGAACAAAUAUAUAUAAGUUUAACAAAGCAUAACUGAGCAAUGACAUAAACUGAGCAAGAAUGUAAUUACUGAAACAUAACUGAAAAGUUAAGUUAAAUGCAAUGACCAAGUACUAAUCAUGAAAAUAACAUGCUGAACUGAAUGCUGAAGUAUAUACUGAAAACCUGGUCAAAUGCACUAAGGGUCUGACUGUGGGAGCUACUAUUAACCGACAUAAACCACGUGAGCUAAACGUGGAGUCCGAUGUAUACACCCCAUCUAGAGGACCCAUUACACCUUGCCAGGGGUAUAAAGGCAUGACUGGCGUGAUCACUAAAUCUAAUGCCCAACAGAGGGGACUUAUAAUCCUACGCGGGCACGUAGUUCUGUGACUAUGAGGGUACGCUGAACCCUAGUCCAACUCGGUGCUAAGUCUACUCCCAACUGAAUCUGUAUAUGACUAAAAUGUAACUGGAAUACUGAAUAGCUAAAAAUACUAACAUGCUAACUGAGAAUGCAACAUUUAUAAACUAAGAAUGUGACAUUCAAAAUCUGGAGCAUGGUUUUCUGUUUAACUAACCUAGCAAGUAUAAUUCAUGAACUAAGAGAAUUUACACAAACUAGGGUUCUGAGUUUUAUACAAGGAAUUAUGCAAAGUUUCCAAGAAAACAUGUUAUUUAGACUAUGGAUUCUAUAGCACCUAAAAUCACAAUAAAUUCCCUAGAUUUUACAAACCCUAGGUCUAAACAAGCUAUGUAGAAUCAAGGAACUGAUUGAAUUUUAAAGACCUAGUGGAUGAAAGGAAAUCACUAAUGAAAUAUCACAUACCCGGUGACGAAAACUAUGGAGAAAUCCUUUGGAUUUCGGGGGUGAACUUGAAGAAAACCUCCUGCUUGUUCUUGAGAGGGCUGAUCGACUUUCCUCUUCUUUUUGCUCUAAUUCGGGUGAUAUUUGGAGAAUAAAGGUUUUGGGUAGGUUCUGACUAGAUUAUUAGGUUAUGACUGAGUAAAACGACGUAGUUUAAGUGCCUAAUGCAUACGCAAAAGGACCAAAACAACCCUGACUUAAAACUGACGAGUGCCCUCUACUACAGGACUGACGGGCUGUCGUUUGAACUACCAACCAUCAUUUGGGGUCGUCGUUCAUGCUCUGCCCGACAGGGCUUCAUUAAAACAAGCAUAACUUUUUACUCCGAGCUUGGAUUUUAGCAAACUUGGUGGCGUUGGAAAGAGCAUUCAAUUAUAUUUAAUUUGAUAGGUCAUGAGCCACCUAAUUCAUGUUGUGCUAAAAGAUAUGACCGUUUAAAGUUGACCCAACAACCAUUUUUCUCUAAAUAACUGCUGAGCCUCACCUACGGUAAGACCUACGAUCCAUAGUCCAAUCACGGACCAUACUGGUCGACCGUGGGUGGGAUCAGAGACCAUCAAAAUUUGGACCUUCAGGACGAAACCCCACCUACGAUCUAUGGUUCUACCUAAGUCCGUGGGUGGUUCCGUUGGUAUUGGCACCAGUUUUAUGAAAACUAGGAUUUUCUCUAUUUUGUGAUCCGAGGUGUUACAUUUAAGUUGGAAGAUUAGGAUGAUAAGUAGAAUAUAUGCAUAACUACUAACCUAAACUUUAAACAAUGAAAAGAGAAACAAUAGAAUUUAGAUUGGUUAGCUUAUUAACCCAUUUUUUUUGGUCUUAAAUGAUUUCAAAUAGAAAACUUUACUUACUUUGCUCGACAUCUAAAAUAACAAACAAAACUUAAAAUUUAGAAUCUUUAAUAACACAAGGCAUCAUCUUGGACGUUAAACCAAUACAAAAAUAUGCAUGUUAGGUUCGACAAGGUUUAAACAAAGGAAAAAAUAAGCUCAAACACAUUUCGACUUGAGUUAGACACUAGUCAAUGAUGAUGAUAAACAAUCCAUUUUCAUGACUAAGAUUAGAAACAAAGGAAGAAGAAGCAAACACCUCAACUUCAUAGUAGACACGCGAUUUAAUCAAUAAAGGAAGAUAAGUGUAAUGAGAUAUUGAUGCUCAAACCGACAUGGCUGAGGAAUUUAAAAAGUUUAUAAGUUCAUGCAAGAGGAUGAUCUGCUAAGACCACGAUUCUUGAUAUUAUGAAAUAGCAGCUAAUUUAUCAAAAACCUCUGGAUCAACACAGUUACAAUGACUAUCAGCUCUAACAUAGAGCACAAACAAACUAGAAAGGAAAGUUUAAACUAAAUAGAAAGAAAAUGAGAAGCUACCUCUUUUGGCGCAACAAACCAGGACAAAUAAGCUUGAGCUUCUCACAAACCUUUCACCAUCGGUGGGGAAUUCUGACGAAUUCCAGAGAAUGAUGAAUAAAGCAAGAAAGAAAGAUUAAAACAAACUCAAAACGUUUUCAAAUUCAAUAUGUA
rnacentral:lncRNA from 1 species